rnacentral:rRNA from 1 species
UACGGAGGGAGCUAGCGUUGUUCGGAAUUACUGGGCGUAAAGCGCACGUAGGCGGAUUGCUAAGUCAGGGGUGAAAUCCUGGAGCUCAACCCCAGAACUGCCUUUGAUACUGGCGAUCUUGAGUCCGGGAGAGGUGAGUGGAACUGCGAGUGUAGAGGUGAAAUUCGUAGAUAUUCGCAAGAACACCAGUGGCGAAGGCGGCUCACUGGCCCGGUACUGACGCUGAGGUGCGAAAGCGUGGGGAGCAAACAGG